rnacentral:rRNA from 1 species
AGUGAACGCUGGCGGUAGGCCUAACACAUGCAAGUCGAACGGCAGCACAGUAAGAGCUUGCUCUUACGGUUGGCGAGUGGCGGACGGGUGAGGAAUACAUCGGAAUCUACUUUUUCGUGGGGGAUAACGUAGGGAAACUUACGCUAAUACCGCAUACGACCUACGGGUGAAAGCAGGGGAUCUUCGGACCUUGCGCGAUUGAAUGAGCCGAUGCCGGAUUAGCUAGUUGGCGGGGUAAAGGCCCACCAAGGCGACGAUCCGUAGCUGGUCUGAGAGGAUGAUCAGCCACACUGGAACUGAGACACGGUCCAGACUCCUACGGGAGGCAGCAGUGGGGAAUAUUGGACAAUGGGCGCAAGCCUGAUCCAGCCAUACCGCGUGGGUGAAGAAGGCCUUCGGGUUGUAAAGCCCUUUUGUUGGGAAAGAAAAGAAGCAGGUUAAUACCCCGCUGUUCUGACGGUACCCAAAGAAUAAGCACCGGCUAACUUCGUG